rnacentral:rRNA from 1 species
AGCUGAGCUCAUGUAAGACUACCCGCUGAAUUUAAACAUAUUAUUAAGCGGAGGAAAAGAAAAUAACUAUGAUUCCGUUAGUAGCGGCGAGCGAACCCGGAUCAGUUCAAGCCUUUAAUCACUAUUCUUUGAAUAUGUGAAUUGUGGUCUACCCAGCGAUACCAGAUUGACAUCUCGGCUAGAUCUUACUGGAAUGUAGUGUCAUAGAGGGUGAUAACCCCGUCCGCUGAGAUCGUCAUGAAUUAGGUACGUUUGGUGCGAGUCGUGUUGCUUGGGACUGCAGCACAAAUUGGGAGGUAAUAUCCUUCUAAAACUAAAUAUUAUCGAGAGACCGAUAGCGAACAAGUACCGUGAGGGAAAGAUGAAAAGGACUUUGAAAAGAAUGUUAAAAGUACGUGAAAUCGUUAGUGGAAAGCGAAUGGCAUACCCUUAACGUGUACUCUCGAUUUGAAACGGGUUUCGUUUCACAGCAAUGUGUACGUCUUCCACUCGAAUUGACUGUAGAGGAUUAGCUUGUCCUUGUUGGUUGUAGACUGUGAUCCGACUUUCUUUAUCUUUCGCUACGGUGGAGGUAUCGGCUGUUUGUUCCCUUCUGCUUCCUUUGGUCAGCUUGACGUUAUUAUGGUGUUGUCAUCCGACCCGUCUUGAAACACGGACCAAGGAGUCUAACGUAUGUGCGAGUAUUUGGGUGGCAAACCCUUAUGCGUAGAGAAAUCGAUCGAAUGAUAACACUAAGUGUUCCUCAUCGGCUGUGAGUGAUUCUACGGAUGAAAUAAACUCGCUUUAGCAUGUAUGUUGGGACCCGAAAGAUGGUGAACUAUGCUUGCGCAGAUUGAAGCCAGAAGAAAUUCUGGUGGAGGAUCGUAGGGAUACUGACGUGCAAAUCGUUCUUCAGACGUGAGUAUAGGGGCGAAAGACUAAUCGAACCAUCUAGUAGCUGGUUCCCUUCGAAGUUUCCCUCAGGAUAGCUGGAACUUGUACGAGCCGCGUGAGGUAAAGCGAAUGAUUGGAGGAUUUGGGUUUGAAACAUUCUCGGCCUACUCUCAAACUUUAAAUGUGCGUGAACAUUGGAUUGCUUAAUUGAAUCUAAUUGUAGGGUCUAAGGUUCUUAGUGGGCCAUUUUUGGUAAGCAGAACUGGCGAUGCGGGAUGCUCCGGAAGCUGGGUUAAGGUGCCUAACUAAUCGCUCAUUUAGAUACCAUGAAAGGUGUUGGUUGAUUUAGACAGCAGGACGGUGGUCAUGGAAGUCGAAAUCCGCUAAGGAGUGUGUAACAACUCACCUGCCGAAUCAAGUAGCCCUGAAAAUGGAUGGCGCUCAAGCGAUUGACCGAUACUCAGCCAUCUGACUUUUUGUGAUGGUCAGAUGAGUAGAAGGGCGUGGAGGUAGUGACGAAGGUGCAGCGGUGACGUUCACUGAAGCUACCUCUAGUGCAGAUCUUGGUGUUAGUAGCAAAUAUUGAAAUGAGAACUUUCAAGGCCGAAGUGGAGAAAGGUUUCAUGUGAAGUUCAUUACGACAUGAGUGACCCAGUCCUAAUCGUCUCCUGAAAUGGUGAGAACUGCACUUUUGUGCUAUUACGAAAAAGGGAAUCAGGUUAAUAUUCCUGAGGUAUAGUCACGAUGCUGAGCGGCGACGCAAUAAAACUGGGGAACACCAGCCACAGCCCUGGAAAGAGUUAUCUUUUCUUUUUAACCAGCCCGCUGGCACUGGAAUGGGAUUAUCCCGAGAUAGUGCGAGCGGCUAGGCAAAGCAGCUUAAUUUUUGAGCUGUCCGGUGCGUUGUGGAUGGUCCUUGAAAACCCUGGGGAUUACUUACAUCGGAGCUGUAGCUGUACUCAUAACCGCAUCAGGUCUCCAAGGUGAAAAGCCUCUGGUCGAUGUGAUAAUGUAGGUAAGGGAAGUCGGCAAAUUAGGUCCGUAACUUCGGGAAAAGGACUGGCUCUUAGGGCUGGGUGGUAGAGGCUCCUAACGGCAGUCUAGAGAUCCGAAGCUCGGGCUGACCCCUCACGGGGACGGCCUAAGCUUUGGGUAAGCUGGAUGAAUGUUUGGGGAUGUAGGCUUCGGUCUUUUUCUGCCACAAUGAACAGCUAACUAAGAACUGGUGCGGACAAGGGGAAUCCGACUGUUUAAUUAAAACAAAGCAUUGUGAUGGUCGGAAACGAUGUUGACACAAUGUGAUUUCUGCCCAGUGCUCUGGAUGUCAAAGUGAUGAAAUUUAAUGAAGCGCGGGUAAACGGCGGGAGUAACUAUGACUCUCUUAAGGUAGCCAAAUGCCUCGUCAUCUAAUUAGUGACGCGCAUGAAUGGAUUAACGAGAUUCCCACUGUCCCUACCUACUACACAGUGAAACCACAGCCAAGGGAACGGGCUUGGGUGUAACGGCGGGGAAAGAAGACCCUGUUGAGCUUGACUCUAGUCUGACUUUGUGAAAUGACAUGAGAGGUGCAGUAUAAGUGGGAGAGCAAUCGUCAAUGAGAUACCACUACUCUUAUCGUUGUUUUACUUAUACGUUUGGUAAGCAACAGAACAUAUGUUCUGAUUCUGGAUUUAAACCCUUUUGGGUGAGCUUGGACGUUGACAGUGUCAGGCGGGGAGUUUGGCUGGGGCGGCACAUCUGUUAAAUGAUAACACAGGUGUCCUAAGAUCAGCUCAGAGAGAACAGAAAUCUCUCGUAGAGCAUAAGGGCAAAAGCUGAUUUGACUUAUACCCUCAGUAAUGGUAUAAGCUGUGAAAGCGUGGCCUAGCGAUCCUUCAUAUUUUGGAUAUUAAAACUGGAGGUGUCAGAAAAGUUACCACAGGGAUAACUGGCUUGUGGCAGCCAAGCGUUCAUAGCGACGUUGCUUUUUGAUUCUUCGAUGUCGGCUCUUCCUAUCCCUAAGUCGCAUAAGGCUUAAACGGUAAGAUUGUUCACCUACUAACAGGGAACGUGAGCUGGGUUUAGACCGUCGCGAGACAGGUUAGUUUUAUCCUACUGUUACGUAUGUAUCUCGAUAGUACCGCAACUCAGUACGAGAGGAACCGUUGUGGCGUGUAACCGGUAAAUGCCGUUGUCCGAAAGGACAAUGCGGCGAAGCUGCCACACGUGGGAUAACAGCUGAACGCCUCUAAGUCAGAA